rnacentral:rRNA from 1 species
UACGGGAGGCAGCAGUGAGGAAUAUUGGUCAAUGGGCGUAAGCCUGAACCAGCCAAGUAGCGUGCAGGAUGACGGCCCUAUGGGUUGUAAACUGCUUUUAUGCGGGGAUAAAGUGCGCCACGUGUGGUGUUUUGUAGGUACCGCAUGAAUAAGGACCGGCUAAUUCCGUGCCAGCAGCCGCGGUAAU